ensembl:lncRNA
GGGCCACACCUGAGUCAUAUGGAGGUUCCCAAGCUAGGGGUCUAAUCGAAGCUAUAGCUGCUGGCCUACACCACAGCAAUGCCAGAUCUGAGCUGUGUCUGUGACCUACACCACAGCUCAUGGCAACGCCAGGUCAUUAACCCACUGAGCAAGGCCAGGAAUCGAACCUCAUGGUUCCUAGUCAGAUUCGUUUCUGCUGAGCCAUGAGGGGAACUCCAAAUAUUUAUUUAUUUAUUUAUUUAUUUGUCUUUUUGCCUUUUCUAGGGCUGCUUCCAGGGCAUAUGGAGAUUCCCAGGCUAGGGGUCUAAUUGGAGCUAUAGCCACCGACCUAUGCCAGAGCCACAGCAAUGCAGGAUACGAGCCUUGUCUGCAAUCUACACCACAGCUCAAGCAAUGCUGGAUCCUUAACCCACUGAGCAAGGCCAGGGAUCGAACCCACAACCUCAUGGUUCCUAGUCGGAUUCGUUAACCACUGAGCCACGACAGGAACUCCGGGAACUCCAAAUUUAAUAUUUUUUAUUUUCCAUGCUAUUAUAGAUGAAUUUAAGAAAUUUCAUAUUCUAUUUGUUGCUCGUACAAAGAAGAAUCAAUAGUUAAAAUGACCACACUACCCAAGGCAAUCUAUAGAUUCAAAGCAAUUGCUGUUAAAAUACCAAAGGUAUUUUUCACAGAACAGGAACAAAAAUUGUUUUAAUUUAUAUGGAAACACAAAAAUCCCAAAUAGCCAAAACAAUUUUAAGCAGAACAGAGUUAGAGGGAUCAGGCCCCUGACUAUACUAUAAAGCUACUGUAAUCGAAACAGUAUGGUACUGGUGCAAAAACAGACAGAUAGAUCAAUGGAUCAGGAUAGGAGCCCGGAAAUAAACCCACAUAUUUAUGGUCAUAAUCCACAACAAAAGGAGGUAAGAAUAAUACAAUGUAGAGAAGAGAGUCUCUUCAACAAGUGGUGUUGGGAAAAUUGGACAACUACCUGUAAAAUAAUGAAAUUAGAACAGUCUUUAACAUCAACUACAGAAAUAAAUUAAAAGUGGAUGAAUGACCUAAAUUUAAGCCAGGAAAUUAUAGAACUCCUACAGGAAAAUAUAGGCACAACAUUCUUUGAUAUAAAUCGCAGUAGUAUUUUUUUGCAGCUGAUUCCUAAAGUAAACAAAAAUAAACGAUAAUGGAAAAAAAUCAUUUAAAAAGCAAAAAAAGCAAAAAGAAACAAAUGGGACCUAAAUUAAACUUAAAAGCUUUUGUCUAGCAAAGGAAACCAUCAACAAAAUGAAAAGUCAACCUAUUGAGUUGGAGAAAAUAUUUGCAAAUGAUAUGACUGAUAAGGGACUAACAUCCAACAUAUAUAAAAAGUUCAUACCACUCAUCAAAACAACCACCACCACCCAACCUGGUUGAAAAAUGGGCGGAAGAACUGAAGAGACAUUUCUCCAAAGAGGAAAUGCAAACAGUCAACAGGCGCAUGAAAAACUGCUCCACAUGGCUAAACAUCAUGGAAAUGCAAAUCAGAACCACAAUUACUGUCACCUCAUACCGCUUAGAAUGGUUACCAUCAAAAAGAAUGCACAUAACAUGUCGGCAAGGGUGUGGAAAAAAGGGAACACGUUUACACUGUACACUUUUGGUGGGCAUGCGAUUGGUGUAGCCACUGUGGAAAACAGAAUGAAGGUUUCUCAAAAGAAAAGGAAAACACUAAUUUGAAAAGAUGUACGCACUCCAGUGUUCAUAGCAGCAUUGUUUACAGUUGCCAAGAUACAAAAGCAACCUAAGUGUCCAUCAUCAGAUGAAUGGAUUAAGGAGAUGUGGGGUGUGUAUAUACACAUACACACUGGAGUACUAUUCAGCCAUAAAAAAGAAUGAAAAAUUUUCAUUUGCAGUAACAUAAAUGGACUCGUAGAGCAUUAUGCUAAGUGAAAAAAGUCAGACAGAGAAAGACAAAUACCAUACGAUAUCAUUUAUCUGUGGAAUCUAAAAAAUACAGCAAACUAGUGAAUAUAACAGAAAAGAAGCCGACUCACAGAUAUAGAGAAAAGAGUAGUGGUUGCCAGUGGAGAGAGGGAAAGGAUAGGGCAAUACAGGGAUGGAAGAGUGGGAGGUAUAAGCUCUUGCGUGCGAGACGGACUGCAAGUAUGUGUUGUGCAACUCCAGGAAUAUAAUGAAAUAACUGUAAAUGGAAUGGAAUCUUUAAGAAUUGUAUAUAUGAUGAAAGAAUCGAUUUUUGGACAUUGACCUCAUCCUAUAAUCUUAUUGGACUGACCUAUUAGUUCUAGAUUUUUAGGUAGACUGUUUUUAAUUGCAUAUGUAUCUAAUAUUUUAUUUAUUUAGUCUUUUUAGGGCCGCAGUGGCAGCAUAUGUAGGUUCCCAGGCUAGGGGUCGAAUCAGAGCUGUAGCUGCCAGCAUACGUCAGAGCCCCAGCAAUGAGGGAUCCGAGCCGCAUCUAUGACCUACACCACAGCUCACAGUAAUGCCGGAUCCUUAAUCCACUGAUUGAGGCCGGGGAUCGAACCUGCAACCUCACGGUUCCUAGUCGGAUUCGUUUCCACUGUGCCAUGAUGGGAACUCCUGUAUCUAAUAUUUUAUUAAAGCUCAACCUGGGCCACCAUGAUUCCAGCUCCUGAAAUCAAUUUCCUUCUCCCUCUGACCAGGUGCUAAGCCAAUGCGAUGUAUUUUAUUUUUGCCUUUUGCUACUGCAGUACUUCACUUUUAGGAAUUAAUGUCUGUAUUAGCCAGGACAGGCUAAUUGCUAUAAGUAACAAUCCUAAAAUUUCAGUGGCUUAAAUAUAAUAAAAAGAUGUCUUUAUUAUUCUUAAUUGUUUUGUCCAAUAUGGUUUAAUUAGGAGGCCAUGAAAUCAUUCAGUGACCUGGGCUCCUUCCAUUAAGUGCCCCCCCUCUUUCUCUAAGACCUCAGAGUCUUUCAUCAGUUCUUCCACAUCUGGCCAGAAAUUGAGGGGAGAGAGUAUGGAUACAAGUAUGAGGGUUUCUUAGGGGUCAGGAAGAGCCUUAUUUAUCUGCAAAGAAAGCUAGGAAGUAUCAGCUGGCUGGGUGCUUAGCAAGAAGAGAAAAUGGCUUUGGGGGAAUAUUCAACCAGUCUUUGCUGCAUGGGGCAGUAUCUCCAUUUUACAGAUAAGAACACAGGCUUGCGAGGAUGAUUUCCCAGCUUUUACAACCACAGACAUGAGAGCGUGGACCUGGACCCCAAUUUGGCGGACGCCAAAGCCAGGCUCUGCAUCCCUCUGCCCGGCACUGCCUCCCCUCCGACGGUCCCGCUGGCCUGCGCUCUCUUAGGACCUGUGGCAUCCUUUCCCCCUUGGAAGGGCUUCCUGCAAGCGUCCACUCUCCUUCUGGUUCUCGCCUUUUGAAAACAAUUGAUGAGCACUCUGUUCUCUAACAAGCAGCCCGGUCCACGGGCUUAGUCUGCAGCAGAGUCGGAGAGCCUCCGCAAUAAGACACCCAAACGACACAGAAGCAGCCCACAUCAAGCGGUUUCUCGACACGGCUACCCGCACGCCAGUGGGAUUUUAUAGCGCUGCCGAAUGCGAAGGAUCUUGGGAGAAAGGACUCGAUCUACAGCCCCGCACGCGUAAAGUGAGCACUUACCGGUGAGAAUUACAGGGUCUUCUUAGCGAACGUUGUCUCGUUGACACACUCUGAACGGAGAGGCUGAAGUUUACCCGCCAAGAGGGUUUCUUCGCAAGGCAGCCCAGUGAGGGCACGGAGAACAGUCUUAAAUCUCAGAACUCAAACCUGCCUCCCCGAAGCCGAGGGGCGGGAGAGUGAGGGCUGGGGUUGUUGCUGGGCUUCCCCCUCCUCAAGCAGUGCCAGGCAAUGUAAGGAAGAACUGUUGGAGGAAGUUUGCAUGGACCAAGUUGGACAUCAGCGUGUCAGCCAUGGCGGGGCAUGGGAGGGUCCAAGGCUUUUUCUUUAAAGCUGAGUACAGGCAGGAGUUCCCAUCAUGGCGCAGCGGAAACGAAUCCAACUAGGAAUCAUGAGGUUGCGGGUUUGAUCCCUGGCCUCACUCAGCAGGUCAAGGAUCGGCAUUGCCAUGAGCUGUGGUGUAGGUUGCAGACAAGGCUGGGAUCUGGUGUUGCUGUGUCUGUGGUGUAGGCCAGCGGCUACAGCUCCAAUUCGACCCCUAGCCUGAGAACCUCCAUAUGCUGCAGGUGCAGACCUAAAAAGGCAAAAAAAGACCGAAAAAGAAAAAAGAAAAAAGGAAAGAAAAAGCUGAGUACUGGCAGAAGGGGUGGGGGCAGUACUGAAUGGUGAAGGGGCCACGGGGACCCUCACCUCACCAGCAUUACAUUUACAUUUGGCUCUAAGAGUGGUCUCUGCUCUUACACUUAUUUGGUAUUUGCUUAAUAACUCUUCCAGGGAAGAGUUAGAGAACAUGUCAGUCAUGGAGUUCCCGCUGUGGCUCAGUGGGUUAAGAACCCCACAGGGUGUCCGUGAGGAUGCAGGUUCCACCCCUGGCCUUGCUCAGUGGGUCACAGAUUCGGCACUGCCGCAAGCUGCAGCGUUGGUUGCAGAUGCGGCUUGGAUCCAGUGUUGCUGUGGCUGUGGUGUAGGCCGGCAGCUGCGGCUCCUACUUGACCCCUAGCCCAGGAAUUGCCAUAUCCUGCCUGGUGUGGCCAUAAAAAGAAAAAAGGAAAGAAAACAAACAUGUAUGUCUGCCAUUCGACUUCCACAAAAAAACAAAACAAAACAAAACAAAAAAACAAAAACAAACACCCAAAAAACAAACUCGCUGACUGUUUAGAACAGCCUUUGGGGCACCACCUCCACUACCAGGCGGCACACCCCCAAAGCCAGGGGAGCUUGGUGACGUGGGAGUGCCUUCCCGCAAAGAGGGCAGAGCCCCCACCCUGGCAAUGCUGUACCCGUUGGCUGGGCUGGCCUCCAGGGGGCUCCUCGGCUCUGCUGGGAAACAGGACUUGUUCUGGGGAUCUAGAAUUCUACAUCCUGCUCAUUAUCAGUUCAAGUAAGCAAAGAACUUGUCUUUUGAUUUCCCCAGGAUUGAAUCUGCUUGGCGGAUCGUUUGGCUUUUCACUUUAAAUAGCUUUCUGGAGACAUUGGUGGUGAGAUGCUUAAACACAGCUGCGUUGUAUUCCUCUCUCUACACACUCUUAUCCCACUGGGUUAUGGGGUCUGCUUCUCCCUCCCUUUCCAGGGGCUGUGAUCCCUGGCAGUGCAUUUCUAAUGAAGGAAAAAAAAAAGUAUGUUGGGAGAGUUCUGAGUUUUUGUCAAAAUCUUCUGCAUGGGAGUUCCCACUGCGGCAAAGCGGAAAUGAAUCCAACAUCCAUGAGAAUGUGGGUUUGAUCCCUGGCCUUGUUCCAGUGGGUCGGGGAUCUGGCGUUGCCAUGAGCUCUGGUGAAGGUCGGCAGCUGCAGCCUGGGAACUUCCAUAUGCUGUGGGUGUGGCCCUAAAAAGCAAAAAUAAAAUAAAAUAAAAAUAAAAAAAUGGAUUUUUAUGACACUUGAAAUUUGGCCGAGUUGGAUUUAAGCCUGGCUGCAUUUAGAAUGUAUUGGUAUGACCUGAAGUCUGAGAGACAUGGAAUUUGGAGGGUGGGAAGGUGGGUUGAUUGGACAAUGACCAUGGGCUAAGUAGUUUGUUCAUGUAUCUAAAUAUUUAUUGAUCUCCUCCUAUGUGCCUGGCAGGGUGAGAGAUGCCCUAGAAAUAGCGAUGAAAGAUAAAUAUUUAACCACAGGAAUCCAGUGUUUUUUGUGGGGGAAGGAAAAUCCGGAAAGACAUGCUGACAGGAUGGCCUAAAGAGAAUUAUGCAUAAGGGUAUGGGGACCUGGACAAGGAACACCCGCCUCAUUGGAGCCUGCGGGUGAGCCUACUGGAGAGCUGACUCAGGCUGGCUGUUUUGUUUUGUUUCGUUUCUAUCCUACCCUAUCUUAUCCUCUCCUAUCCUAUUCUAUUCUAAAUUUUUUUUUUUAAGGCCACACCUGCGGGAUAUGUAGGUUCCCAGGCUAGGAGUUGAAUUGGAGCUGCAGCUGCCAGUCUGCACCACAGCCAUGGCAACGUCAGAUCCAAGCCAAGUCUGCGACCUACACCACAGCUCAUGGCAACACCGGAUCUUUAAUCCACUGAGCAGAGCCAUGGAUACUUGGUGGGGUUUGUUUCUGCUGAGCCACAGCGGGAACUCCCAUUUUUUUUUUUUAAAAAGGGGGAAAAACAGUGUGCUGGAAGGGUGGGAAGACGCCGGUGGGAGGAGACGUGGUUUCUCCCGGUGAGGUCCAGAAUGGCUGGGGAGCCCCUAAAAGUCUGGGGAGAGUGGACAGCUGCACUCUGAGCCGGACCUGGGAUGAAGGCUGGAAAGCUCUUGGGGGCAGAUGACGGCAACACCUCAGACCUCAGGGACGGCCCUGGGAGCAGCGGGAGCUGGAAUGGAUCAGAAGUGGGCAGUGACAGUGAGGAGACCCCCCACCCAGCUGCCUGGAGCCGGCAGUGAAAGGCCCUCCAGGCUCCGCCCCCACCCCAGCCACACGCGAUUUUGUUUAUUUAUUUCCUUAUCUGUCUUUUUGUCUAUUUAGGGCGGCACCCACAGCCUAUGGAGGUUCAUAUGGAGGUUCCCAGGCUAGGGGUCCAAUCAGGGCUGUAGCUGCCGGCCUACACCACAGCCCCAGCAACACGGGAUCCCAGCCACAGACUCGGCUUGUCUGCGACCUACACCGCAGCUCACGGCAAUGCCGGCUCCUUAACCCACUGAACGAGGCCAGGGAUCGAAUCCACAUCCUCAUGGAUCCUAGUCGGGCUCGUUAACCAGUGAGCACGAAGGGAACUCUGUGUUGGCACAUUUGAAACGCAGCGGUGGGUUAGGAAUGUGUUCCGAGGUAUUAACUUCUAAACAACUAAACAACCUUCGGGAGAUGCCCCUUGUUAACAAUGACCUCUUUGUUAACAAAUUUCAUUUUUUGUUUGUCUCAGAACUGGUCUGGCUCUAGAAUAAAUCAACGUGCUGGGCCGAGGGUACAGUGAUUCCAAACAGUUUAAUGUAAUUCCAAGACAGAGUGUGAUUACAUUUCUACACAUAUACAAUAUGCAUAUGUGAGUUUACGAAUUUUAAUUAAUAACUCGUUUCACCUCAGAGACCGAAAAAGUGAUCAAAAAGAAACUGUGAGUAACAAGCUAUAACAUAGUUCACACGACGGGACCCCCCUUUCUCACCCUACAGUUAGUAAUAUUACAAUUAAAAUAACUAUAUUCUUCUAUAAUUUUUUUUCUGUUAAAAUCAUCUCAUAAAUUUACAAUGCUAUUAUUAGUUUCCAAGACUAAUAUAAAUUCACUCCAUUUUUCUACAACGAAAAUGAUCAUUAAUUUAGAAGCACACGACGUCAUGAUGAAAAACACAAGCAUUUUAGUAGCAAGGACUUGAUCAGAUAAGAAUUAUUUUUCUUGUAAAACAUUCUAAAGCCAAGUAAAAUAUCCAUUCUUAUAACAUACCUAUAAUAUGAGACUAAGGAAUAGGUUACAUAUAGGCCUACAACACAUUGGUUUGUCUUUUAAAAAAAGUAGACAUUUAUAAAUAAAAAAAGAAAAGAGGGACAAUUCACAUAGGAAAAAGAGGUACACGAGAAAAUACUGUUGCACGCAAUAGUUUUCACAAGGAUUAACAUGGAUUAACACUUUUUAUUACAGAAACCGUACAGUGAAGGAACACAACAGAGCAGGGCUUCCCGAGGGUAACUGAGCGGAGGGACCUGGUAGAGAAGGUCUGGGCGAGACGACCCUGGGGAGGAGCUACGUUCCUUGGACCGGGGACCGAGCCUCCCCCGGUCCCCUCUUCCCUGCUCUCGUUCUGGGGAGUGUGUCUUCCUGUCCAGAGUGUCCUGAAUUCGUGGGCAGCUGCAAGGUCAACAUUUCUACGGAUCCGUUCUCUUUCCGGCCUAAUGGAUACCAUUUUUGGAAAUGGGAUAGAAUAUCAGAGGCUGCCGCUCAAUACCCACGGUCGAAGCAAAACGGGAUGGAAAAUUCCAGUCAUCCUGAUGUGUUGCCUCCCCUCACUCGUCUAUGCCCUUGUCGCUGGGGACCCAGAGAGAGCAGUGGCACCCUGCAGGGCCUCUUGCCUCCGCAGUGGCGAGGUGGUGGCGGGGGGCCGGGCGCCCUGCCUUGGGCCCACGUGCGAAGAUGCAGCCUGGGCUGUGGUCCAGGGCUCCUCUAAUAUGCCAACCAACACUGACUCAGGCUUUUCAAAUCGCCUCUUCCUCCUCAUCUGUAAA